GCUUUCUGCACACUUGGCAUGCACUUGACUAAUUGAACUACUGCACAUCCUGCAGGCUCAAGUAAAAAGUCAGUGCUUUUAGGAAAAACAGCUUUAAAACCUCUGGUUUAGCCAGAUAGAUGUAGUAUAAAUUAAAAAUGCCCUAAGCAUGAAAACACUUUGGAUAUAUCUAAUAUCCUGGCAUUGUGCUUAGUCUCAUCUUCUUGAAAUGUGCUCAGAAUGUUCACACUAAAAAUACAAUUGUACGAAGCCAGCUAUCUAUCAUACAAACCUGGUUGUUAAAUGAAGUACUGACUGUCCGUUGAUUAGACAUUAUGAGCCAUGGUAUAGGCAGUUUCUUCUCAGGACCACCUGCCUGACUGCUACUGCCCAGCAUUACUUGAGAAUAUUGUCACAUAUAUUGCUUGCUAGCUUGAGAACAGGUCAAAACUCCAAAUCUCUUAUUAUGUGGGGAACCGUGUGAGGUGUGGCGGACGGCUCAUGUCUGUGGUCUCAGUUACUCAGGAGGAUGAGCCUGGUACAUUGGAGUCUCCGAAGGGUUUCAAAUGGUUCCGAGAGCCACUAGCCUGUCAAAUGAUUGACACCAGGAUCACGCCGCUAAGUUCACCGAUUCCCAGAUCAACAAUUCAUAGUGCAUAUAGCCAGGAGUUUGAUGGAAGAGUGCCAGGCAGGCUGAAAUAGCAACCUUUUGACCAUGACUUCUGGGAGGAAAGGAGCCCUCUCUGCAAUCAUCGCUCAUGAAACCUCUGGAAUGUCUUUGCACAAAGGGCUCAUUGAGAGUUGAUAGGCCUGCAUAAACCAGCCACACAAAACACCCGCCUCAACUUGAAAUCCAAAGAGAUUGACCUGCAAGACUGCAGAGAUUACAAAAUCCCACCAUGGAAGUAGAAGAGCUAGGGGCUGGAAAGCCAAGUGGUGGCUCAAUCCAGGCUGGCAGAAGUCUCUCGACAUAGAAUCUCCUAAGAGACUGAGCCACAUCUACAGGAGUGUCUGGGAGAAGUUUCUAGAGAACUACCUGAAGAAGGAAGAACCACACUGAGUAUGAGAGGUACCAUCCUCACCAGCAGGAGCCAAAAGGGACGAAGGAGUCGAACUCUGGAGUCUCCUGAGAUCAUCUCUAAAGUAAAUUACCUGAACUGGAUGCUCUGCUUCUGGAUCUACCACGAUGGAGACUGAGCUCAAACACCCCAACAAACAGACAUUCAAAGAAACUCUUUAAAAGUUCAGAGGCUAACACAGUUUGAGGGAUACUAUUAAGGUAAAAGCUCAA